CCCUGACAGGCGCAAUGGGCGUCUGACUUAACCCACGACAGGAGAUACACAUG
ncrna:unclassified sequences Mu-gpT-DE RNA